rnacentral:misc_RNA from 1 species
AGCAGCCGCGGUAAUUCCAGCUCCAAUAGCGUAUAUUAAAGUUGUUGCAGUUAAAAAGCUCGUAGUUGAAUUUCGGGACUAAUAUGUCGGUCGUGCCUCGGUACGUACUGGUUUAUUGGUUUCUCCUUUCUGAAGAACCAUGAUGUCAUUUAUUUGGUGUCGUGGGGAAUCAGGACUGUUACUUUGAAAAAAUUAGAGUGUUUAAAGCAGGCUCACGCUUGAAUACAUUAGCAUGGAAUAAUGAAAUAGGACGUUUGAUUCUAUUUUGUUGGUUUCUAGGAUCGACGUAAUGAUUAAUAGGGAUAGUUGGGGGCAUUAGUAUUCAAUUGUCAGAGGUGAAAUUCUUGGAUUUAUUGAAGACUAACUACUGCGAAAGCAUUUGCCAAGGAUGUUUUCAUUAAUCAAGAACGAAAGUUAGGGGAUCGAAGACGAUCAGAUACCGUCGUAGUCUUAACCAUAAACUAUGCCGACUAGGGAUCGGAUGAUGUUAAUUUUUAAUGACUCAUUCGGCGCCUUACGG